rnacentral:tRNA from 1 species
AGGGGCGUCGCCAAGUGGUAAGGCCCCGGGUUUUGAUCUCGGCAGCCGUUGGUUCGAAUCCAGCCGCCCCUGCCA